GACGAACGCUGGCGGCGUGCCUAAUACAUGCAAGUCGAACGCUUCUUCCCUCCCGAGUGCUUGCACUCAAUUGGAAAGAGGAGUGGCGGACGGGUGAGUAACACGUGGGUAACCUACCCAUCAGAGGGGGAUAACACUUGGAAACAGGUGCUAAUACCGCAUAACAGUUUAUGCCGCAUGGCAUAAGAGUGAAAGGCGCUUUCGGGUGUCGCUGAUGGAUGGACCCGCGGUGCAUUAGCUAGUUGGUGAGGUAACGGCUCACCAAGGCCACGAUGCAUAGCCGACCUGAGAGGGUGAUCGGCCACACUGGGACUGAGACACGGCCCAGACUCCUACGGGAGGCAGCAGUAGGGAAUCUUCGGCAAUGGACGAAAGUCUGACCGAGCAACGCCGCGUGAGUGAAGAAGGUUUUCGGAUCGUAAAACUCUGUUGUUAGAGAAGAACAAGGACGUUAGUAACUGAACGUCCCCUGACGGUAUCUAACCAGAAAGCCACGGCUAACUACGUG
rnacentral:rRNA from 1 species